rnacentral:lncRNA from 10 species
GCGUGAACCCGGGAGGCGGAGCUUGCAGUGAGCUGAGAUCGUACCACUGUACUCCAGCCUGGUUAGAGUUUAUAUUUCCUUUAAAUUUCUAGAGAAAACAGAUUGUCAUGUAUUUUUAUAGAGACAAAAUACUGAUGAAGGUGAUAUACAGGUAGCUUAAUUAUGAUUUUUCUAAGAUUUAAUUAGAUGGUAAAUUUACAGUAAUUAUUAAUAUGUUCACUGCUUUUAUUAAAAACCAUCAAUUCUGAAUCCACAAUGACACAAAUGGCUGCCUUGGAGUUUUCAUAAGAAAUUGUCCCUGGAGGUGUUGGAUGAUCACAGCUUCCUUGGAGCAUUGCAGUUGCUGGAAUCCAGUUUCAGGAUUAAGGGAGGGCUGCCUCCUUGCAAUGGGCUGCCAAGAAAACGGCUGUGCUUGUUCUUAACCUCAGGCUCUGUCUGUGAUCAGUCUGAGAGUCUCUCCCAGGUCUACUGCUCCCUGGAAAGCCCUAUCUCUCUGCAGGCUCGCCUCUGGGCUUUGUCUCCUUGGAGCCACAUCACUGGGACAGCUGUGGAUGUGGAUGCAGAUUUGAACCAUGUCACGGCCCCAGGGACUGCUAUGGCUUCCUUUGUUGUUCACCCCGGUCUGCGUCAUGUUAAACUCCAAUGUCCUCCUGUGGUUAACUGCUCUUGCCAUCAAGUUCACCCUCAUUGACAGCCAAGCACAGUAUCCAGUUGUCAACACAAAUUAUGGCAAAAUCCGGGGCCUAAGA